GCAUUUUAAAAUUCAUUGGUAAAAUAGCCUCCACACAAUGUUACGAAGCAGCGCAGAGCAACACCCCCUCCCCCGGUAACGGGCCGGGCCUUGAUUUCGUGACGCCAAAGAUUACCAUAAUAAUAACACACCACACGUCAAGACAGGCAUCAAAGCCUACAAGAUAUCCAUAUUUAGUCAUGUCUUGGAAAACAGUUAUUUAUAGGCACAACGAUGCGCAACACAAAAUAUACAAAUUUACAUAUCUCUUUCUUUCGAAAGCUUGUGGAAUUUAGCAUCUAAAUGCUGUAUAGCUGACAGACAAAAAAGCAAAGCAACCCAAAUGAUAUGGUUUUGUUCUCUGUAACUAUUACAGCUAUUCUCAAUCACACGCGCCCUCUAGCGAUUGUUUCUAUCGCGACGAAGAAGGUUUUGAGAAGAUAUAACUAGCUAAAAACUAGUGUGAGAAGGUUUUGGUUGACGUCAAUCAUAAGGCGUUUCCAUAACAUUGUCGGAAAACACAGAGCUAUAAGGGUACGUUCCUUAGAAUGCCAUGGAAACGUCUUGAUUGACGUCCACCAAAAGCUUCUUCGUCACGACAGAAAGUGAAUCGCUCGAGGGAGCGUGUGAUCGAGAAUGGCUGUGAUGGGCACGGCUCAGGUGGGUAACUUUAGUUACAGAAAUGAUAAUUAACUCAAUGUGGGUCGCCGUUUUACAUCACGUCAUUACCUGUGGCAUUUGGAAUGUUCAUCAGCUGAUCGAAUGACAAGUUUUGAAAAGAAUUCUGUUUGGCUGACAGCACAUGGUGGUCAGUGUUUGAUCACCAUUUGGAAGAGCAUAUUUCGAAGACUUUUAUCAGCUGUUUGAAAUCCAUCCAUUAAUCGAUUUUAAGAAACACCUACAAAAUACUCGAAGAAUAUUAAUGUGGGUAUGGAGGUAUGACUUUAGGAGUAGUCUAAUAUGGCUUAUUUUGAAAUCAAUAAAUCAACUAUAAUUUAUAAUAUCUGAAAAAAUUAUAGUUAUUCAUCAGUUAUACCGCAAAGUUCCUGUAUAAUAUAUAACAGCUGUUUUGUCCUUUUUUUGUUGUUGAAAACGUCUAGAUUAAGGGGGCUCUUCAUUAUUAUCAGGGUAUGGAAAUAAAAACAUUUUAACCCACCCCCUCCUUCCCCUUCCCCUAGGACACUUGCAUUACUGCCUCAUUUACUACCACUACCAGACUCCCUUGCACACUUUCUUUUGUUCAGUCAGUUAGUAAAAGAAUCAAAAGACAGAAACACCAACAUGAUUAACGAAGUGUGCAAUUGAUGAUACAGACAAUUUUAUAAUCAAUACUUUUUUACUUCAUUUGAUGUAAUAAAUGUUACAUGUGCUAUGAAAAUCAUUACAUUCAUUAAAGUGUAAGUUUGAGAAUCACUCAUUACGAUAUUCGUCACAUCUUUGUUGUUAAAUAAAAACAUUUAUAUAAGCUAUAGAUUAAGUGCACUAUUUGGUUAUAAUAUAUUAAAUCACAUGUGCCAAGUAAUAAUAUUCAAUAUAUUAAUCUAAUGUAAACUUUAGGGACCAUUCUCUUUUAGAAGAUGGACUAAAGGUUUGUCAAAUUUCCCAUCUCCAGUUGUAAUCAAAAACCAUCACAUCAAAAUUUUCCGAAAAGCUGUUUGUGGCAUCAGAAAGUGAAAGCCCUCCUACUGCCCAUUGCCCUUCGUAAUCCCUAAAACAAUUCAGGACAUGGCUAACAGACAGAUUGAAUUUGAAUUUAGCAAAUUAGGUUUUAUACUGAAAAGAAAACUAGAGAAACUUGUGAGAAAAACUGGCUCUUACUUGAUGUUAUGGUGUCCCAGGCUGACCCGCGUUGGCCUGGGACAGUAGCUCAGGGGUGACCCAGUGUCCCACCUGGUUCAACAGACUAAGGUAUAAGCUAAGUAUAUAGAGAUAUUUGGUGUCCCAGGCUGACCUGAGAGAAUAUAUAGAGAAUACCUUUGGUGCCUAAACACCAGAUGGGAAAUAUAAACAGAAAGAGCUACCUUGGUGCCUUGCAACACCAAGUAAGAGCCGAAAAACCUUUGCAUCAAAGACUGAAGCAAUGUUAAUCUAGCAAAGCAAAGUACUCCAGGAAUCAUAAGUCCCCAACUUUCUAAAAGUGAAUGGUUUCUGUGCCCUUGAGUAAGAGCUGUGAUUCAAUCAAUGUUCAAGAAACACUAACCAGAAAGUAUUUUAUAUAUUAUGACGUUGUUGUUUCAGCCCAUUAUGGCACAAAUAUCAUGUUUGUUAUCUGAAAAAUAAGAAAGGAUCAAUACUUAAGACAAAUGGUUAAUUAAAUGCACACGCCAGCUUCCUAUCAA